AACGAACGCUGGCGGCAUGCCUAACACAUGCAAGUCGAACGAGACCUUCGGGUCUAGUGGCGCAAGGGUGCGUAACGCGUGGGAACCUGCCCUUAGGUUCGGAAUAACUCCCCGAAAGGGGUGCUAAUACCGGAUAAUGUCUUCGGACCAAAGAUUUAUCGCCUUUGGAUGGGCCCGCGUUGGAUUAGCUAGUUGGUAGGGUAAAAGCCUACCAAGGCGACGUUCCUUAGGUGGUCUGAGAGGAUGAUCAGCCACACUGGGACUGAGACACGGCCCAGACUACUACGGGAGGCAGCAGUGGGGAAUAUUGGACAAUGGGCGAAAGCCUGAUCCAGCAAUGCCGCGUGAGUGAUGAAGGCCUUAGGGUUGUAAAGCUCUUUUACCCGGGAUGAUAAUGACAGUACCGGGAGAAUAAGCUCCGGCUAACUCCGUG
rnacentral:rRNA from 1 species